AGCUUGCUGCCCGUUUCUUACUAUGUGUGUGUGUGAUUUGGAGUGAAAAAUGGGUCAAAUGUUGAAUAUAAAUUCCACUUAUUCAAAAAUUGCAAGGAAAGUCCUCCAACUCCAUUUUUAUAUCACAUUUAAUCCUAAACUUCCAAAAAUAUAUAAGUAAAAUCCAAACUUUGAAAUGUAUCCAAUUUAACCUUCAUACUUUGUCAAUUACAAAAUAAACCCAAAUAAAAUGAUUUGGUCAAUCAAGUCCCAAUAAAAAUGAUUUAUUUCAUACAAGUCCUCAUUUGACUUGACUUUGAAAAUUCCACUAUUGACUUUGACUAGAUAAAAAUGUGGGUUGUAACAAUCUUACCUCCUUAAAAGAAUUUCGUCCUCGAAAUUCAACUGGCAACUGACUAGGCAAUGAAUAAACGAGGAUAUUGAGCACGCAUCUGAUCCUCGUUCUCCCAUGUAGCCUCUUCUACUGUCUGAUUCUGCCAAAGUACUUUAACAAG
rnacentral:lncRNA from 1 species